AUUGCACGCUGGCGGCAGGCCUAACACAUGCAAGUCGAACGAGUGGCGGACGGGUGAGUAAUGUCUGGGAAACUGCCUGAUGGAGGGGGAUAACUACUGGAAACGGUAGCUAAUACCGCAUACCAUCAGAUGUGCCCAGAUGGGAUUAGCUAGUUGGUGGGGUAACGGCUCACCAAGGCUACGAUCCCUAGCUGGUCUGAGAGGAUGACCAGCAAAACUGGAACUGAGACAGGGGCCAGACUCCAACGGGAGGCAGCAGGGGGGAAUAUUGCACAAGGGGCGAAAGCCUGAUGCAGCCAGGCCGGGUGUAUGAAGAAGGCCUGCGGGUUGUAAAGUACUUGCAGCGGGGAGGCGUUACCCGCAGAAGAAGCACCGGCUAACUCCGUGCCAGCAGCCGCGGUAUUC
rnacentral:rRNA from 1 species